GUGGGGGAUAUUGCACAAUGGGGGAAACCCUGAUGCAGCGACGCCGCGUGAAGGAAGACGUACUUCGGUAUGUAAACUUCUAUCAGCAGGGAAGAAGAUGACGGUACCUGACUAAGAAGCCCCGGCUAACUACGUGCCAGCAGCCGCGGUAAUACGUAGGGGGCAAGCGUUAUCCGGAUUUACUGGGUGUAAAGGGAGCGUAGACGGUGAAGCAAGUCUGAUGUGAAAACCCGGGGCUCAACUCCGGGAGUGCAUUGGAAACUGUUUUACUUGAGUGCUGGAGGGGCAAGCGGAAUUCCUGGUGUAGCGGUGAAAUGCGUAGAUAUCAGGAAGAACACCGGUGGCGAAGGCGGCUUGCUGGACAGUAACUGACGUUGAGGCUCGAAAGCGUGGGGAGCAAACAGGAUUAGAAACCCUGGAAGUCC
rnacentral:rRNA from 1 species